UUUGUUUUGUGGUGUGCGUGUGGUGUGAGUGUGGUGUUUUGUCUCGAGGAAACAUGGGUCAGGCACAAAGUAAGCCCACCCCACUAGGAACUAUGUUGAAAAAUUUCAAAGAAGGAUUUAAGGGAGACUAUGGAGUCACCAUGACACCAGGAAAACUUAGAACUUUGUGUGAGAUAGACUGGCCAGCAUUAGAGGUGGCUUGGUCAUCAGAAGGAUGCCUGGACAGAUCCCUUGUCUUGAAGGUAUGGCACAUGGUAGCCUGUAAGCCAGGGUACCCAGAUCAGUUCCCACAUAUAGAUUCUUGGUUACAGCUAGUUUUAGACACUCCCCACAGUGGUUAAGAGGACAGGCAGCAGCAGUACUAGUAGCAAAGGGACAGUUAGUUAAGGAAGGUUCUUGCUCCACCCGCUGAGGGAAGUUGGCCCCAAAAGUCCUGUCCAACCCAAUACCAGAAGAAUCGUGGCAGGAAUUGGUACCAGCAAUACCCCCGCCUUGUUGGGAGGAAGGGCUCCCCUAUCCCUGAGCCCACAGCACUUACACUUCCACCAGAUAACCACACCCCUAGACCACCCAGAGUAGACAAGAGAGGAAGUGAAGCCGUGGGAGAAACUCAUCCCUUGGCAGCUUGCUUAUGGCCCAAGACAGCAACCCAAAUACCCCUGAGAGGGCAGUGAUAUACUGGGGUAGAUGAGGAUGGUCACAUGGUGGAAAGGCGUGCCUUUGUGUAUCAACCUUUCAUCUCUGCUGAUCUCAAUUGGAAAAACAAUACUCCAUCUUACACUGAAAAGCUUCAAGCUUUAAUUGACUUGCUCCAAACUAUUACACAGACUCAUAAUCCUGCUUGGGCUGAUUGCCACCAGCUGCUCACGUACCUCUUUAAUGCAGAUGAAAGGCGAAGGGUGCUCCAGGUGGCAACUAAGUGGCUAGAGGAGCACAUCCCAGUUGAUUACCAAAACCCCCAAGAAUAUAUAAGAAUUCAACUGCUAGGAAUAGACCCCCAAUGGGACCCGAACGAGGGACCAGACAUGGAGAGGCUAAGGUGGUACCGUGAGGCAUUAAUAGAAGGUCUAAAGAAAGGGGCUGAAAAGGCUACAAAUGUAAUGGUCUCUGAGGUCAUCCAAGGAAAAGAGGAGAGUCUAGUGCAAUUCUAUGAAAGACUGUGAGGCUUACCGUAUAUACACUCCUUUUGAUCCAGAUAGCCCUGAAAAUCAGCGCAUGAUUAACAUGGCCUUAGUUAGUCAAAGUGUGGAAGGUAUCAAGAGAAAAUUGCAGAAACAGGCUGGGUUUGUGGGUAUGAAUACCUCACAGUUACUGGAAAUAGCAAAUCAAGUGUUUGUGAAUAGAGAUGCAACAAGCCGCAGAGAAAGCCGUAAGGAAGGCUAAUACCAGGCUAGGCAAAACGCCAACUUACUGGCCGCGGCCAUUAAGGGAAUUCCCCUGAAAGGAGAGGGAAAGGGGGGUUCUGGGAGGAAUACCCAGUCUAAUCACCCAUGCUUGCAACAUAACCAAUGCGCCUAUUGUAAGGAAAUAGGACACUGGAAAAGUAAGUGUCCCCAACUGAAGGAAAAGCAAGGUGGUUCAGAACAAAAGACCUCAGAUAAAGACGACGGAGCUUUGUUCAGUGUGGCUGAAGGGUUAUUGGACUGAAGGGGACCAGGCUGAAGUGCCCCCAAGGAGCCCGCAUUCAGGAUUACAGUUGGGGGAAAGGACAUUAAGUUUUUGGUUGAUACUGGUGCUGAACAUUCAGUAGUGACCACCCCAGUUGCCACCUUAUCCAAGAAAACCAUUGAUAUAAUCAGAACAACAGGAGUUUCCACUAAGCAGGCUUUCUGUUUACCAAGGACCGGCUUGGUUGGGGGACAUGAGAUAGUUCACCAGUUCUUGUACAUGUCUGACUGUCCCUUGCCCUUGCUGGGAAGAGAUUUGCUUAGCAAGCUGAGAGUCACCAUCUCCUUUACAAAACAGGGCUCUUUACAGCUAAAGUUACCGGGAACAGGAGUUAUCAUGGCCCUUACGGUCCCCCAGGAAGAAGAAUGGAGACUUUUUCUAACUGAGCCAGGCCAAGAGAUAAAACCAGCUCUAGCUAAGCAAUGGCCCCGAGUAUGGGCAGAGGAUAAUCCUCCGGGACUGGCGGUCAACCAAACCCCUGUACUCAUAGAAGUUAAGCCUGGGGCCCAACCAAUUAGACAAAAGCAGUAUCCAGUUACCAGAGAAACUCUCAAAGGAAUCCAGGUUCAUCUCAGGUGCUUGAAAGCCUAUGGAAUUAUAGUUCCUUGCCAGUUUCCAUGGGACACCCUCUUCCUGCCUGUCCCUAAGCCAGGGACCAAGGACUACAGAUCAGUACAGGACUUGCUCUUGGUCAACCAAGCUACAGUGACUCUGCACCCAACAGUUCCUAACCCUUACACAUUGUUAGGACUGCUGCUGGCUGAGGACAGCUGGUUUACCUGUCUGGACUUAAUAGAUGCCUUCUUUAGCAUCAAAAUAGCUCCUGAGAACCAGAAGUCGUUUGCCUUUCAGUGGGAAGAUCCAGAGUCAGCUGUCACUACUCAGUGCACUGGGACCUGACUUCCCCAAGGGUUCAAGAACUCCCCUACUAUUUUUGGGGAGGCCCUGGCCCAAGACCUGCAAAAGUUUCCUGCUAAAGACCUAGGCUGUGUCUUGCUUCUGUACGUGGACGACCUUCUCCCGGGACACUCCACGGCAGUCGGGUGCACAAAAGGGACUGAAGCCCUGCUUCAGCACCUGGAGGAUUGUGGGUAUAAGGUGUCCAAGAAGAAAGCUCAGAUCUGCAAACAGCAGGUACGCUACCUGAGAUUCACUAUUCAGAAAGGGGAGCACAGCCUGGGGUCUGAAAGAAAGCAGGUCAUCUGCAACCUACCGGAACCUAAAAACAGAAGGCAAGUAAAGGAAUUCCUAGGAGCUGUGGUUUUGCAGAUUAUGGAUUCCAAACUUUGCAGUACUAGCCAAACCUUCGUACUGGGUUACAAAGGGGGACGACCGGGAGCCUUUUGAAUAGGGGCCUCUACAACAGCAAGUCUUUUUAAGUUAAAGGAAAAAAUUAUGUCGGCCCCAGCCCUAGGACUACCAGAUUUGACAAAGCCCUUUACACUCUAUGUGUCAGAAAGAUAACAAAUGGCAGUUGGAGUUUUAACCCAGACUGUGGGGCCCUGGCCAAGGCCAGUGGCCUAUCUCUCAAAACAACUAGAUGGGGUUUCCAAAGGCUGGCCCCCAUCUCUAAGGGCCCUGGCAGCAACAGCCCUGUUAGCACAAGAAGCAGAUGAACUAACCCUUGGGCAAAACCUGAAUAUAAAGGCCCCCCAUGCUGUGGCAACUUUGAUGAAUACCAGAGGACAUCAUUGGCUAACAAAUGCUAGAUUAACCAAGUACCAAAGCUUGCUGUGUGAAAAUUCCCGCGUAACUAUUGAAGUCUGUAACACCCUAAAUCCUGCCACCCUGCUCCCAGUAUCAGAGGGCCCUGUUGAGCAUAACAGUAUAGAGGUGUUGGACUCAGUCUAUUCUAGCAGACCUGACCUUCAGGACCAGCCAUGGGCAUCAGUAGACUGAGAGUUAUACGUGGAUGGGAGCAGCUUCAUUAACGCACAAGGGGAAAGAUGUGCAGGAUAUGCAGUGGUAACUUUGGAUGUUGUCAUUGAAGCCAAACCCUUGCCACAGGGCACUUCAGCCCAGAAAGCUGAGUCUUUAACUCAGGCUCUAGAACUCAGUGAAGGUAAGACUGUAAACAUCUACACUGACUCUUGAGAUGCCUUUCUAACCCUCCAAGUGCAAGGAGUAUUGUAUAAGGAAAAGGGUCUGUUAAACUCUGGGAGAAAGGACAUAAAAUAUCAACAAGAAAUUCUACAAUUAUUAGAGGCAGUGUGGAAACCUCAGAAGGUGGCAGUCAUGCACUGCAGGGGACACCAGCAAGCCUCCACCUCAGUGACCUUAGGAAACUCUCGAGCUGAUUCAGAAGCUCGAAAAGCAGCAUCUACCCCUUACCAGGUAUCGGUAGUAGCCCCCUUACUCCCUCAAACACCUGACCUGGUACCUACCUAUUCUAAGGAAGAAAAAGGCUUCUUCCAAGCAGAAGGGGGGCAAGUAAUAAAAGGAGGAUGGAUCAGACUGCCAGAUGCUGGGGUAGCUGUGCUGCAGUUGCUAGGAGCACCAGUCGUAUUGGCUGUGCAUGAAACCACUUAUCUAGGUCAAGAGUCACUUGAAAAAUUGUUAGACCGGUACUUCUAUGUCUCACACUUGCCAGCCCUUGCCAAAGCAGUAGCACAACUGUGUGUUACUUGCCAACAGCACAAUGUGAGGCAAGGCCCCAGCAUUCCACCUAGUAUAUAAGCUUAUGGAGCGGCUCCUUUUGAAGAUCUUCAGUUGGAUUUCACAGAAAUGUCGAAAUGUGGAGGUCACAAGUAUUUGCUGGUUCUUGUGUGUACUUACUCUGGGUGGGUGGAGGCUUAUCCCACACGAACUGAAAAGGCCUAUGAGGUAACCUGUGUGCUUCUCUGAGAUCUUAUUCCUAGGUUUGGACUGCCCUUAUGAAUCAGCUCAGAUAACAGGCCGGCGUUUGUGGCUGACUUGGUACAGAAGACAGCAAAGGCAUUAGGAAUCACUUGGAAGCUAUAUGCCUACUGACCUCAGAGUUCUGGAAAGGUGGAGUGAAUGAAUCGGACCAUCAAAAAUAGUUUAGGGAAAGUAUGUCAGGAAACAGGAUUAAAGUGGAUACAGGUCCUUCCUAUGGUAUUGUUUAAAAUUAGAUGCACUCUUUCUAAGAAAACAGGAUACUCCCCCUUAUGAAAUACUGUAUCAUAGGCCUCCUCCUAUACUAUGGGAGCUUCCAGGCACUUCCCGAGUUAGGUGAAGUUGAAUUACAGCGACAGCUAUAGGCUUUAGGAAAAAUUACACAAACAAUCCCAACUUAGGUAAAUGAGAGGUGUCCAUCAACUUAUUCUCCCCAGUUCACCCUUUCUCUCCAGGUGAUCAUGUGUGGAUCAAGGACUGGAAUGUAGCCCCUUUGUGGCCAUGGUGGAAAAGACCUCAGACUGUCAUCCUGACCACCCCCAUGGCUGUAAAGGUAGAAGGAAUCCCAGCCUGGAUCCACCACAGCCAUGUGAGACCUGCAGCCGAUGAAACCUAGGAGGCAAAACCGAGCCCGGACAACUCCUGCAAAGUGACUCUGAGGAGGACGGCAAACCCUGCUCCAGUCACACCUGGAAACUGACUGGUCUACACACAGCAGAAGCAUGAGGAAAAUCAAUGUAGGACUCAUUUUCCUUAUAAUUUGGACUUGUAUAGUAAAAACUUCCACUGAUUUUCCCUGCACGGAGGACUGCUCUCAGUGUAUACAUCAGGUUACCGAGUCAGGUUCCUCUUCUGUAGGGCUACUGCAGUUUGCUGGGGGUUCACUUCAGCUCCUAUUCAUCUGGUUUGCUCUCACACCUGGAGAUGUCACUCAAGCCUGCAGAACAGCCAAGUUUACAUCAGUAUCUACCUAGCUGGUCAUGAGACAGCAUGGAAUUGAACUCCACUUUUCACUCUCAGCACAACAAAUUAGGGCUGGUGACUUGAGGAGAAAUAUGCCAUUACAGGAGUUGGUGUCCUUUGAGGAUGUGGCUGUGGGCUUCACCUGGAAAGAGUGGCAGGACUUGGAUGAUGCUCAAAGGACUCUGUACAGGGACAUGAUGCUGGAGACCUACAGCAGCUUGGUGUCCUUGGGGUACCACAUUACCAAACCUGAAGUGAUCUUCAAGCUGGAGCAAGGAGAACCUUGGAUGGUAGAGGACACCAGAGCCUUCCAGCUGUCCACAUAGUUGAUGACAUAAUUGAGAGGAGCCAAGAAAGUCACAGUAGACAUUUGUGGCAAGUUGUAAUUACCAAAAGCAAAUCAUCAGUUGAGAAGGGAGUGGAAUCAGGAAAAACAUGUAGUUUGACUUCAAACCAUGUACCGGAACUGAUUAGAAAUAAUGGAAACUAUUCAGGAAUGAGACCUGAGGAGUUGAAUGUAUUUCAGAACAUGCUUCUUUCUGGUGAUCCUGAUGAAAUGCAAGCUGGAGUGAGACCUGAUGCUUACGAUUUAACUGGAACAUUUCUCGGAGGUCAUGAGCAUCUUAGGAUCACAAGAUUCAAAUUGGACUACAGUGUUUUGAAUACAGUGGACUGAGGAAUGCCUUCAACGUGGAGGCUAUAUUAACACAUAAGAGUGUUUCUAUAGGAGAGACCUCUUGUAAAUGUAAUAAAUGCGGGAAAGCCUGUAAUGAGUCAGCUCCUAUUGCUCAAGAGCUAACUCAGGUAGGGAGGAAAACUUUUGAACGUCAUGUAUGUGAGAAAAUAUUCUGUAAGAAGCAUAAACUCACUGAACAUCAGAAAAUACAAUCAGGAAAGAAACCUUAUAAAUAUAGUGAAUGUGAGAAAGCCUUCAUUAUCAAAUCAUGUCUUACAAAACAUCAGAGAACACAUACAGAAGAGAAACCCUAUGCGUGUGCCAUAUGUGAGAAAUUCUUCUGUCAGAUCAAAUCCAAGUGUUUAUCAGCAAAUUCACACACAGGGAAAAUCCUGUGAAUAUAAUGAAUGUGGAAAAACAUUUUGGCAGCAGUCAGCACUCGGUGCAUCAGAGAACUCACACAGGAGAAAAACCCUAUGAAUGUAAUGGAUGUGGGUUGACCUUCUACCAUAAGUCAACCCUCACUAUCCAUCAAAGAACUCACACAGGUGAGAAACCAUUUGAAUGUAAAUAAUGUAGGAAAAGAUUCUGCCGGAAGUCAACCCUCCUGGUACCUCAAAGAACUCACAGAGGUGAACAACCGUAUGAAUGUAAAGAAUGUAGGAAAACUUUCUAUGAGAAGGCAAAUCUCAAUGUACCUCAGAGAACUCACACAGGGAAAAAACCCUAUGAAUGUAAUGAACGUGGAUAAACGUUUCAUCACAAGUCAUACCUCAGAGUGCAUCAGGGUUUUCAUACAGGCAAGAAACCCUAUGAAUGUAACGAAUGCGGGAAAACCUUCUAUGAGAAAGGAAUCCUCACUAGUCAUCAGAGAAGUCACACGGGGGAAAAGCCUUAUGAAUGUAAUCAAUGUGGAAAACCCUUUGGCUGGAAGUCAAGCCUUAGGUCGCAUCAGAGUAUUCACAGAGGGCAGAAAACCUAUGGAUGUAAUAUAUGGGGUAAAAGCUUCUACCAGAAGUCAGACCUCACUUGAUGUGAAAUAAUUCACACUGGGGAAAAACCCUAUGAAUGUAAUGAGUGUGGAAAAUCCUUUGGCUGGAAGUCAAGGCUCAGCCAACAUCAGAGAUCUCACAUAGGAUAGUAAAACCUAUGAAAGUAAUGAACGUGGGAAAAUAUUUUGCCGAGGUCAGUCAUCACUGGACACACAGAACUCACAUAGAGAAAACCCUGUGUAAUAAAUAUAGAAAAAACCGUUUGCUUGAAGUCACAGCUUAGCAGACAUUAGAGAAGUCACAGAGGAAAGAAAUCAGAUAUUGUUCUUCAAAAAGCAUUCCCUUUUAUCUAGGACACAGACUUUGUGUACAUUUCUGAGCAUUCCAGUGUUGUGGUUGGGACCAUGUAAAACAGAGUUGUAUAGGAUAAUAUGGAUAGAAGGGAUGAAUGUUAUUUACAGGCUUCACAACAAUAGUCUUGAUGGUCCUUCCUGAUUUAUUAUGCCUUGUAGGACUGAAGUUCAGCUGACCCCCAGAGUGACCAGGGAGCCGUUAGUUUGGACCUCGUCACUGAUUUAAGAAAGGAGGAAUUAAAUAGUGUAGAGAUCUUUCCACCUCCACUCCCAAGAAAUUCCCCUUUGUGCUUGAGAGAUCAGGUAUUUAAAGCACAUGUGUGAUUUGUUUGCUUUACACUACAGCCCAGCCUAGUAAUUUGGAAGUUUCUGAGAAAAGUUACUGUCUUCUGGCAAAGCAGUCAUUAUAGCACCGAUGGCAUCACCCUUUCCUCAGCUGUGGCCCUGGUCUAUGAUUCGCACCUGCUAAUCAGGCCAUAUCUUGUCUGAGAUCCACCUGUGUUUCUACUCCCACCAAGUGGUGGCACACCUGUUCCAAUAUCCAGGCUCCCCUGAAGCCCCAGUGGCUCCUCUUCCACCUAUGCAUAGCGACCUUCAGGGACACAGAAUCCAACCCUAGACCUGCAGAGAAGCAGUGGGAGAGGACAGUUUUCUGAACUUCCAAAGGAAAGUUGGUGGAAUUUGAACUGAACCAGAGAGUCUGUCUUGCUCCCUGUGGAUCAGGACCUGAUGGAUCAAGACUUCUCUUUGUCCAUAUGACAGUGCUGUGGAAUUUUGUUUAUUUAUUAAAUCCUGGAUUGAGAACCUGCGAUAUUAUGGCAAAAAUUAGGAGAUUUGAAUGUAGACCAAGUGGUUGAUAUUACUAUUAACAACUAACUUUAAUAUAUUAAAGGUAUAUGGUUAUAGACCAGAUGUCUGUUUAUAACAGGUGCACCCUAAUGCAUGAAGAAUUGUCUGUAUUUUUGCAAGUUUAUUGAAGCAGAAAUUAAUGUGUUAACCGCCUUUGGAUCCAUUAAAAAGGUGUUUGUUCUUACCCAGUAAACUAAUUUGGGUGUCUUCAAUGGAUUA